AUUGAACGCUGGCGGCAGGCUUAACACAUGCAAGUCGAGCGGGGUGAUGGUGCUUGCACUAUCACUUAGCGGCGGACGGGUGAGUAAUGGUUAGGAAUCUGCCUAUUAGUGGGGGACAACAUCUCGAAAGGGAUGCUAAUACCGCAUACGUCCUACGGGAGAAAGCAGGGGAUCACUUGUGACCUUGCGCUAAUAGAUGAGCCUAAGUCGGAUUAGCUAGUUGGUGGGGUAAAGGCCUACCAAGGCGACGAUCUGUAGCGGGUCUGAGAGGAUGAACCGCCACACUGGGACUGAGACACGGCCCAGACUCCUACGGGAGGCAGCAGUGGGGAAUAUUGGACAAUGGGGGGAACCCUGAUCCAGCCAUGCCGCGUGUGUGAAGAAGGCCUUAUGGUUGUAAAGCACUUUAAGCGAGGAGGAGGCUCUUUUGGUUAAUACCCAAGAUGAGUGGACGUUACUCGCAGAAUAAGCACCGGCUAACUCUGUGCCAGCAGCCGCCGUAAAAC
rnacentral:rRNA from 1 species